GGGGAUACCACCUGGAAACAGGUGCUAAUACCGCAUAACACAUUCCGGUGCAUGCCGGGAUGUUGAAAACUCCGGUGGUAUGAGAUGGACCCGCGUCUGAUUAGCCAGUUGGCGGGGUAACGGCCCACCAAAGCGACGAUCAGUAGCCGGCCUGAGAGGGCGGACGGCCACAUUGGGACUGAGACACGGCCCAGACUCCUACGGGAGGCAGCAGUGGGGAAUAUUGCACAAUGGGGGGAACCCUGAUGCAGCGACGCCGCGUGAGUGAAGAAGUAUUUCGGUAUGUAAAGCUCUGUCAGCAGGGAAGAAAGAGACGGUACCUGACCAAGAAGCCCCGGCUAACUACGUGCCAGCAGCCGCGGUAAUACGUAGGGGGCAAGCGUUAUCCGGAUUUACUGGGUGUAAAGGGAGCGUAGACGGCAAUGCAAGUCUGGAGUGAAAGCCCGCGGCCCAACUGCGGGACUGCUCUGGAAACUGUAAUGCUUGAGUGCAGGAGGGGUAAGCGGAAUUCCUGGUGUAGCGGUGAAAUGCGUAGA
rnacentral:rRNA from 1 species